UGAUAAUUCUCGAUAUCAUACAAAAACCGAAUUCAAUAAUUGUUUUAUUAUAUAUUCAAAAUUUAUAAAGGAAGCAAAGCCAUUAUGUCUACGCUUUUAAAAAUAUGGAAUUUUUGUGCGCUUUUUGGCAAACAAUGGACCGCGCUGGGGCUUGGUAACCACAGCGUGCAAUAAUACUUUUUUGGACCGAUCUUCGGUCCAAGAAAAGUAUUGCGCUCUGAUGGCGCUAGCAGGUGAAAUAACGUGACGGCUUCAAGAUAGUGCGAGAAUUAUCCGACACAUUUUGACCAAUCAUGAGAAUAGACUUUGAAUAUAUAAUUAUCACUAUUAUUACUAGGGAUGAGCCGAUUAAUCGGUAAAUAAUUGGCAAAGCCAAUUAAUCGGCCAUUUUUGUGGCUAGACGCGCUGCACGGCCAGCCACUAUCAUAUCCACAAAAAACGUUUUGCGAUCUUACAUUUUUCUCAAUUUGCAUAUUGUCAGAGAGUGGUCGGAGACCUCAGUGUCAGACUUGCGCAUAUAUUACUGUUCUAAACAGGAGGCAAAAUUUUUCAGCAAGCCGUAUGCAGUUUCAUAUUUUGUGAAAGAAUUCUUCAAAUUUUGCCAAUUGAUUGAUGAACUCGUCCUCUUCAAAGAAAAGGUAAGUAAUUAUUCUUGUGUUCGUUGUUAUUUUCAUUCCAUUUUGUAUUUUUUAUAACAUUGUAUAAAACGAAAGCUAUUAAAUGGUCUGCUCUUGUCAAAGGUACUUUUGUUCAGACUCCAUAUUAAACUCAAACGCAUUGCCAUUGUGCUUGGAUAAUUACUUGCCUGCCAACUUGCAGCUUGUUGAAAUUGUGCGGGUAAAUGAAGAAGCAAGCCUAUUGCUGGCAUUAUAUUACACAACUGCACUAUCAGCUUGCAGGUAUAUAAAAACAGGUUAGACUAUGUUAUAUUUAAUACUAUGGUGGUCACGGACAUGGCUCUGACUGCAAAUAUGGGUGCUAUUGUUGAAAUCUAUUGUUCAAGGUUUGUCUCUUGCCACAAUUUCACACAGUGCAAUGGAAGCUUAGUCUGUUUACCUAAAGUUGAAGGAUCUUGUAGAUGGAAAUAAUCGCCGGAAUGGAAAUAUAUUCACAUUUAUUAGACCUAACCAGGAACAGCUUCAAAAAAUGCAACUGUAGGUCCCUUGCAGGAAGCGAACCUAUGUUUCCAGUGCAGUUUAUUUUUGGAUAUUAAAAUAUAAUUAAAUUUUGACAAUUUCAGGUAAAAUUUGCAUAAUAAAGUUGUUAUUUAAAUGAUAACCAUUUUCGUAAAAUACAGUCAAUUUAGAUCCAAUUUGUUUGCGAAUAUGAGUUAGAAAAUGCCAGAAAUGCAGUCCUGGACAACAGUAGAAAUCAAUCGAAAAAAGCUCUAUUAUAAUUAUUACACUUCAGGUAGUUUUUUUUCCUGCCCCCAACUUCAGAUGCUUUGCUACGUCCCUGAAGAUCAGUGCAAUCACCAUACAACACUGAACCUUGCAAUUGUGAGGUUAUAUGAAAUAGCAAACCCACAGCCAUUGUGCUGAGAUCAUAGGCCAGUUAACUUGUACAUUAAACACCAUAGGAAUAUUAAUCAAUCAAUCAAAUGUUGCUGAAAUUCUAGACUAUUAAUUAUCUAGCAUCGAUACAGAUUGAAUACAGAAAUGUCCUAUAUAAACCCGAUCGUUGAAGAAAUUCUUUUUGCGGAAUGAUUUAUAUUAUCAACCCAGCAUGUGCCUAUAAUUAAAUAGCUAAAAAUGUUUAUUUAAUCUUUAGUAUUCUAUAAAAGUAUAAAUCAUCCCUCAAAAUGCAGGAAUGCCAUUUCAGAGACUCCAGAAUUCAAAAUUUUUGUGAGUAUACCCAGGACGCCCUAGAAGUUUUUAUGUGUGACUUGACGCUUACACCUGUUGAAAAACCUGUUUUACCUGUCCCACUCACAACUUUGGAGAACCCUGAAGAGGAAAGAUCCUGGGUACGAGGCUGAUGAUCUGCCUUAAAUAUUUUGUUCUUUUUAAACAAUUUGCAGAUAACAGCACGAUUCAAAUUCAUGGUGGAGCAUGACAUCUACAGUACUUCAAGCAACUAAGUAAACAACCUUGUUCCCAAUGCUAAGUAAACACACAUUUUGGACAAUUUGCUGAUAAUAUGGUGACUGGUGAUAAUAUUGGAUAAGUAUAGAAAGAUAAUUAUACGCAAGUAUCAGGGCAGUACAAGUAUUAGACAAACGUUUUAGUGGUGAUGACAUGAUCAAUUGGAUGAGUUCUUAUCAAUUCUGAUGCUGUUAGAUCUUACAAUAAAUAAAAAAUGUUUAAAAUCUCUAGUAUUAAAUAUUAUAUUAAUGAAGAACUUUGAAUAAUUUGAAAGGUUUUAUGAAAUUUGCAAUGCCAGCAAUUCAAGAAAACUUUUAAACCAUGCAAUGAAAUCUUAAUGAAUUGCUGGAUUGUUUAAACAUGCAUUACCACAUACCUCUUACUAUAUUUUUGUAGAGUGAACUUUUUGAAAAGAAAUAAAUUGACAUCAUUAGUUGCUGUAUAUGCUGAUUAUUAAAGCAAAACAUUUAUUAAUUAAAGUGUGACUCAAUAAUAUUGUUGGCUGUGCCAUUGCUUAUGCUAUCAAAGCCAUUAAUUUGUUGGCACUUGGCAUUGUAAGAAAGAUACUGAAUCUGUUUAUUUUGACCAUUAUUCUAUUGUAAUUAUUAAUUUUGUAUCUAAUCACAAUGAAUGUUUGUGAUGAAUGUUUAUGACAAUGUAAACUCCAGCUGUAUUUAUAAUUAAAAGGCUA